rnacentral:ncRNA from 1 species
AUAAUGAUACUUCUGCAUAGUCAUAGUCCGAGCGUUAAAAGCGUCGCAGGCAUUGAGUGCAGUUCGGGCGGUGCCGGAAAGGUGAAAUUCCUAUG